rnacentral:lncRNA from 1 species
UAACCUCACAAAAUGCUGAGGGAAGCUUUGUUCCUGUGUGUGUAGUAUGGUCUCCCCCGCAGCACUUUCAGUAAAGAGGUGGACUGAAGCCUGCAGUGGUGCCCACACCUUUAAUCCCAGCACUUGGGAAGCAGAGGCAGGUGGAUUUCUGAGUUCGAGGCCAGCUUGGUCUACAAAGUGAGUUCCAGGACAGCCAACAGCCAGGGCUACACAGAGAAACCCUGUCUCAAAAAAAAGAAAGAAAGAAAGAAAGAAAGAAAGAAAGAAAGAAAGAAAGAAAGAAAGAAAGAAAGAAAGAAAGAAAGAAAGGAGGAAGGAAGGAAAGAAAGAGGAAGAAAGGAAAAGAAAGAAAAGAAAAAAGAAAAGAAAAGGGAGGUGCUGGUAAGAUGGCUCAGUGGUUAAGAGCACUGACUGCUCUUCCUAAGGUCCUGAGUUCAAAUCCCAGCAACCACAUGGUGGCUCACAACCAUCCGUAAUGAAAUCUGUGAGGACAGCUACAGUGUACUUACAUAUAAUAAAUAAAUAAAUCUUAAAAAAAAAAGAAAAGAAAAGAAAAGGGAGGCCCAAGAGAUGCACAUUUCGUUCAGAAGGGGCAAAUAAUCCUUAGCGGCCUCUAGGUAGUCCCGCUCUGCGCUGCACGCUCUGGUGACGAAUGGUUCUGUGUGCUCUCACCCCUUAGCUGUGCUGACGUCAGUUCCUUGGCCAGCAGAGUGGAGGCAGACCUUGGAGAUGUAGUAUCCAAAUUAAGAUGCUACCUUCCUACAGUAUUGUGACAUCUGCCAAGGAAACAGGAGGGAGAGUCAAAGGUCAAAGCACACUUCCUUCUGAACAAAUUUCCUUAACAAGACAGAAUCUAAAAGGGAGUAGGGCCCCUCUAUAUAAGCUUGUUUAGCCUGGAAACUCACCUCGUAGCCCAGGCUGGUCUCAAACUCGGAUUGAUUGGUAUUACUCAGAUUAAAGGCAUGCCACAGUCUUA